CCCAAAGCCCAGGUUGGACAGGUCCGCGCGCCAGUGAUUAUUCCAGCACAUGGAGAAUGAAUAUUUUGCACUACAAAUGGGCUGAACCCAGCUGAUCUGUUCAAUCACCCAGGAGCGCUGAGGCACGACCCUGUAAAAAGGCCGAUGUUGUCGGGGCGGAGCAGAGACCUAACAGGGGUACUGGAUGCCUGCACGUCUAACGUGGACCCUCACUGCUGGAGCUGUUGCAUAACAUGAGAGUCUUUAAUGGGGAAGGACUGCACUCUGCAGACUGGAACCAAGCAACAAGAGUUUAACACACAUUUCAGGGUAAAGAAAUGCGGCCAGAGAUGGCUUAGUGGUUCCUGGCUUUGCAACUACAUUGCUUGCAUGAGUGAAAGAAAGGCCACCCAAAAGAGAAAAAGACAGAGAGAAGCAGGGAAAAAAACAGCACUAACUUACCUCCAGGUUCCUCCCCAAACUGUCAUGGGUUGCCAAAAUAAGGACAUGUAAUCCAGAUUUUCUUCUUUAUUUCUCAAAUUAAUUCCUUUGUUACUCUGACCCUGUGUAAAUGAACACCAGUGAAAGAUACACUUCUGCAAGGCGCGGUUUCUGAAACUGCAUCACAGUUGUAUAUCAUCACUGUUAUUACCCUUCACUUUUGAUGUCAGACAAAUAUUAUGUCAUCAGAUGGAUUAACAGCUUCUACAUUUAACCUCAAACAUGGCAUGGACAAAGUAACAUCUGACAAAGUAUCAUCUUAUGCAUCUCUGUUAGUGGUCCUGACAAGUUAUCUCUGCUGUUGCAAUGUCAUCUAAUUAUUUUUUUUUAAACAUAUUUAGUCCUUUUUAAAGCAGGUAGAAAUAUGCCAAAAAAAAUUAAUAAGUGUUGUCAAGAUGUUAGUGACAAAAUUUAAAAAUGAAGCCUUUUAAGUGGUUAUCUUCUAAUAUAUAGUCUGACUCACCAGAUGUAGACUGUGGCUAUAAGCCUUCCUUUGGCAGGUUAUUUAGGUCGGCAGUCUUCCCCUCCUCCGCUAUCUGCAUGUUGCCAUUUUCAAA